rfam:Stegodyphus mimosarum contig49494, whole genome shotgun sequence.
GCUUAAGUGGUAUAGUGGUCAGAACGCUCGACUUGUAACCGAGAGGUCCGUGGUUCGAUUCCCGACGAAGGUA